rfam:Anolis carolinensis chromosome 1, whole genome shotgun sequence.
AAAGAGGAUUUUUUAAAAUCCACGUUGUUUUAAAACAUUAAAUUAU